UUCUGUGUGGUCUUAGACAGUGGUAUAAUAUACAGGUGAACAGCGAGUUAUUGGCUGUGACGAGAACUAUCUGUAUUCAUACACACAGAGCAAGUUGGAAGAAUUGGCAACAUAGUACAGAUACGUACCUUGGUACCAAGUACAGAACUAGAAGAAUAUCGGUGGAAGGAACGGGAACUGAUUUUUAUUUAAAGAAGAAAGUUAAUACAUAAAGGAAACGGUAGCAGACAUUUUUACCAGAAUACGUGAUAAGCAAUUAGUACUGGAAUUUGCAGUUUCUAAAAGUUUGAUUACCGGUGACAUCGGGAAGCAAUAAUUGUAAAACAUGGCUAAACUUAUCUUACUUUCCAUAUUACUGUUUACUGUAACCAUAACAACGAUUUCUGGAGCAGAAAACAACAAAUACACAGAAUUAAGUAAAAGAACAAAAGAAGUUUUAAGAGACUCAGAUUUUGAUUCAGCUCUAAAAUAUUUGCUAAGUAGUCUAAAAAAUAAAGUUUUAAGAGACCGAAGAGGUUCUGUAGAUUUUGGACUGAUGUCACGUCAUCUAGCUGGAUCAGACUAUGCUCGUGUAGCUGAGACUCGUCACCACAUCCUUGACCCAUAUGGACCUGGAAAACGAAAGCGGACUUUGUAAAGCUCUAAUACCUUCGUUGCUGAAGACCAAACCAACAUUCUGAAAUUACUGACAAAUGCAAUUCUAGAAUUUGUAAAAAAAAGUUACCUAUUAUAAGAAAUCAAAUUAAUGUCUCGUAAAAUAGACAUUAUGGAGGAAUGUAACAAAACUUAUUGAACCAGAGACUGAAGCUGUUAUAUAUCAUACAAUUGAUUUUGUAUUAUAAAUAUGUACAUUAACACAAAAUAGUUGUGCCACAAAAUAUGGUCAUUAAUGUUUGAAAUAUAGGAAAAUGUGUGUGCUUAACUAGCCUCUGUGCACUUAACACUCUUUAUUUCUAAUAAAAGAGAAUAUUGCUGAACCUUCUAAAUAAAUAAAAACGAUCAACCAAAACUGCAAACUCUGACAAAUGUAUUAUUUAAUUCAUUGUAUUAUUAACUACCGAAUCUAAACCACUACUCUGUAUUCCAGGCAAUAUUAAUGUACAAAUAUAAUUUUUUUAAUAGUCAUUAUGUGAAAUUUAGACCUUAAAAAUUAUUAUUAGUUGAGAUUCUCGAUAUAUUUAUUAUCUAAAAUAUGUUAUCUAAUGUACAUAAUGAAAAUAGUAUCCAGCACUAUUUUAUCACCAAGUGAACUAAUGUUUUUCUUUGCAUAGCAUUUGUUUGUAAUCAAUUGCAAUUUUGUUCAUUUGAUGAAAAUACCCAAGAGAAUAAAAUGAACAUACCCGAUGUAUAAGUUUUCAAUUAGGGAUAUAAUUACUUGCCCAAAGUUUGUCACAGAAUUAAAAAGAGAAACCCAUAGAUAUGCACCCCGCCUAGUUAGACGUUCAAUUUAAUCCUAAUUUUCCAACCUUUAUUUUUAAACGUUAAGAGCGAAUUUAGGUCAUUGGGUUUUGUUCUAACCAACGCAGAUUUGGAUCGUUUGUUUUCAAAUAACAACGGUGAUAUUUCAACCGUAGAUUAAUUUCAAAUUUUAAUGUUCAUCAUUUGUUUGUUAUUUAGUCAAUCUGAUUAAAAUACAGAUAUAAAUUUCUAUUUGCUUUUUUUUGGGUGCUUUCUGAUGACAAAACCCAUCGAAAUGUGAUCAGUAAAAUACGGAACGAAAUGAGAUUUGGUUUUUUUAUCAGAUUGGUGAACGAAUUGUAAGCACAUAUAAUUUAUUAUACUGCCGCGUGGUCCUUUAACAUACCAUAUUAAUGGGGAGAGAGCCCUCCGAUGGAAUCCAUGAACAUGGGAUAGAAAUGAACUUCUAGUGUACUUUAACUUAUCAGUAUCACGAUGUUGUUUUGAGAAUGAACAAAUGUAUGCAUCUACGCACAAUACUUACUUGUAGCACUUUGGGGCGUUUCAAUUGACGAUGAGGAUAAUUGAAGAAUAAAAUCUAAAAAACAUAUGCUUAAUGCUCGCUUUAGUUGUAAAUUAAUAAGUUUUUUGAUUUAGCAUUAUUAUAACAACAUGGCGGAUGGAAAUACGGAAAACGCGGAAAGCACCUUAUAACAGUUAAGGACCGGAAAUUAAAACCUUAUGCCUGGUUUUCAUGUGGGCUACGCAUACCACGAAUCCUCCCUAAUAGUGCCGAAUCGGCAAAAAAAAAAUCGUGGAGAAUCGGGAGUAGUUACGAAGCAGUUACAAAUAGUGUAUGGUUUAAUUCGUGGGUAAUUGGGUGUAAAAUAUGUCGAAUGUCCAGAUAGGCUUACGAGAAAGGUACAAACUGAAAGAAUUAUCUACGAAUUGUAACGAUUCAGUUAAGAAUAAGCCAGUUUCUUUGCGAAUAUACCAAAUUCAAUUACGAAUACACUACGAUCUCCACGAAUAAUGUCGAUAAAGCUAGAAAAAGUUUACGAUAUUUGGCCCUAUCCGUGGCAAUUCGGCAAAAAAAACGUUCGUGGUCGAGCUACAAACUGCUACGAACAAUACGAAUGUGUAAGAACCAAAUAAGAAUCAUUCACGAACUUCAAGACCCGUCUAGGAUUUAUCUACGAGUCAGAAAAAGUUUGGAUUCGGAACGAUUCGUGACAUUCCAAGCCAAUGUGAAAGCCAGGCAUUGCCAGACAAAAAAUACGUUUGGGUUGAAUUAAAGUGAUAAAUAGAGAA